CCUACGGGUGGCUGCAGUGAGGAAUAUUGGUCAAUGGGCGAAAGCCUGAAGCAGCAAAGUCGCGUGAAUGAUGAAUUCCCUCCGUGUUGUAAGCUUCUUUUAUAAAGUAGUAAAGUGCGGCACGUGUGCCUUUUUGUCUGUCCUUUCUGAAUAAAGCUCGGCUAACUCCGUGCCAGCAGCCACGGUAAUACGGAGGAUCCGAGCGUUAUCCGGAUUUAUUGGGUUUAAAGGGAGCGUAGAUGGGUGGUUAAGUCAGAUGUGAACGUUUGCGGCGCAACCGUCAAAGUGCAAUUGAUACUGGCAGGCUUGAGUACAGUUGAGGUAGGCGGAAUUCGUGGUGUAGCGGUGAAAUGCGUAGAUAUCACGAAGAACUCCGAUGGCGAAGGCAGCUUACUAAACUGCAACUGACAUUGAUGCUCGAAAGUGUGGGGAUCAAACAGGAUUAGAUACCCUGGUAGUC
rnacentral:rRNA from 1 species